rnacentral:tRNA from 1 species
AAAAAGAUAAGCUAAAUAUUAAGCUUUUAGGCUCAUACCCUAAAUAUGAAUUCAUAAUUCUCUUUUUA